AAGUACUUAGUCUAAAAAGACAACUGAUUUCGACUCAGUUAAUUCUGGCCAAACCCAGAAGUAUUUU
rnacentral:tRNA from 1 species